AAGUCGUAACAAGGUAACCGUAGGUGAACCUGCGGUUGGAUCAUUAACAAAUCCAAUUGAUCAACUUUUAGAGUCACCUCUAAAUUUUGAUUUUUUACACCCUGUGAAUUAAUAUUGUCUUUGGCCGAGUCAGUUUGACUUUGCCAAACCAUUUUAACCCCAAUUAUUAUUUUAUACCUGAUUUCUUAAAUCUGAUCCUUUUGGAGAAGAGCUUUAAUGAAAAACAACUUUUGACAACGGAUCUCUUGGUUCUC
rnacentral:misc_RNA from 1 species